rnacentral:rRNA from 1 species
AUGAACGCUGGCGGCGUGCCUAAUACAUGCAAGUCGAGCGAACAGACGAGGAGCUUGCUCCUCUGACGUUAGCGGCGGACGGGUGAGUAACACGUGGACAACCUACCUAUAAGACUGGGAUAACUUCGGGAAACCGGAGCUAAUACCGGAUAAUAUAUUGAACCGCAUGGUUCAAUAGUGAAAGACGGUUUUGCUGUCACUUAUAGAUGGAUCCGCGCCGCAUUAGCUAGUUGGUAAGGUAACGGCUUACCAAGGCAACGAUGCGUAGCCGACCUGAGAGGGUGAUCGGCCACACUGGAACUGAGACACGGUCCAGACUCCUACGGGAGGCAGCAGUAGGGAAUCUUCCGCAAUGGGCGAAAGCUUGACGGAGCAACGCCGCGUGAGUGAUGAAGGUCUUCGGAUCGUAAAACUCUGUUAUUAGGGAAGAACAAAUGUGUAAGUAACUAUGCACGUCUUGACGGUACCUAAUCAGAAAGCCACGGCUAACUACGUG